rnacentral:rRNA from 1 species
GACGAACCGUGCGAACGUUGUUCGGAAUCACUGGGCUUAAAGGGCGCGUAGGCGGGCGAGCAAGUCCGGGGUGAAAUCUUUCGGCUUAACCGGAAAAGUGCCUUGGAUACUGCUCGUCUGGAGGGAGGUAGGGGCAUGUGGAACUUCCGGUGGAGCGGUGAAAUGCGUUGAUAUCGGAAGGAACGCCGGUGGCGAAAGCGACGUGCUGGACCUCUUCUGACGCUGAGGCGCGAAAGCUAGGGUAGCGAACGGG